rnacentral:tRNA from 2 species
GGGCUCAUAGUUCAGUUUGGUAGAAUAUCUCAUUCGCAUUGAGAAGAUCGCCGGUUCGAUUCCGGCUGAGUCCA